rnacentral:rRNA from 1 species
GAGUUUGAACCUGGCUCAGGAUGAACGCUGGCGGCGUGCUUAACACAUGCAAGUCGAACGAAGCACUGAAAGCGGAUUACUUCGGUUUGAAGCUUUCUUUGACUGAGUGGCGGACGGGUGAGUAACGCGUGGGUAACCUGCCUCAUACAGGGGGAUAACAGUUAGAAAUGACUGCUAAUACCGCAUAAGCGCACAGGACCGCAUGGUCCGGUGUGAAAAACUCCGGUGGUAUGAGAUGGACCCGCGUCUGAUUAGCUGGUUGGUGAGGUAACGGCCCACCAAGGCGACGAUCAGUAGCCGGCCUGAGAGGGUGAACGGCCACAUUGGGACUGAGACACGGCCCAAACUCCUACGGGAGGCAGCAGUGGGGAAUAUUGCACAAUGGGGGAAACCCUGAUGCAGCGACGCCGCGUGAAGGAAGAAGUAUUUCGGUAUGUAAACUUCUAUCAGCAGGGAAGAAAAUGACGGUACCUGACUAAGAAGCCCCGGCUAACUACGUGCCAGCAGCCGCGGUAAUACGUAGGGGGCAAGCGUUAUCCGGAUUUACUGGGUGUAAAGGGAGCGUAGGCGGUUUAGCAAGUCAGAAGUGAAAGCCCGGGGCUCAACUUCGGGACUGCUUUUGAAACUGUUGAACUAGAUUGCAGGAGAGGUAAGUGGAAUUCCUAGUGUAGCGGUGAAAUGCGUAGAUAUUAGGAGGAACACCAGUGGCGAAGGCGGCUUACUGGACUGUAAAUGACGCUGAGGCUCGAAA